GACGAACGCUGGCGGCGUGCCUAAUACAUGCAAGUUGAGCGCUGAAGGUUGGUACUUGUACCAACUGGAUGAGCAGCGAACGGGUGAGUAACGCGUGGGGAAUCUGCCUUUGAGCGGGGGACAACAUUUGGAAACGAAUGCUAAUACCGCAUAAAAACUUAAAACACAAGUUUAAAGUUUGAAAGAGGCAUUGGCACAACCCAAAGAUGAUCCCGCGUUGUAUUAGCUAGUUGGUGAGGAAAAGGCUCACCAAGGCGAUGAUACAUAGCCGACCUGAGAGGGUGAUCGGCCACAUUGGGACUGAGACACGGCCCAAACUCCUACGGGAGGCAGCAGUAGGGAAUCUUCGGCAAUAGACGAAAGUCUGACCGAGCAACGCCGCGUGAGUGAAGAAGGUUUUCGGAUCGUAAAACUCUGUUGGUAGAGAAGAACGUUGGUGAGAGUGGAAAGCUCAUCAAGUGACGGUAACUACCCAGAAAGGGACGGCUAACUACGUG
rnacentral:rRNA from 1 species